GGAUGUUUGAUUUGUCAGUUCAGAUGAGUUGGUUAAACGUUUCUUAAUGAACUCAGUUCAUCCAGGCAUUGGCCAACAGGAUCCAACAUGAGAAAUUCUACGUAGCUUUUGCUGAAAAGCAUACUGAACUUCCGUGACCUUUUUCAUUGUACCUUUCAGUGCAAAGUACAUUGCAACCUCAGGAUACAGCUUUUAAGGAAGAACUGCGAUUGCUUAUUUCAUCCAAGUGUGCUUGACGGCAUCUGCCAAUUAAGUGAUGGUGAAGAAAAGAAGUAUCACCGCCCUUUUUUUACAGCAUGAAGUGUUUUUCUAAGUCUGCAUCAAGUUUCCCCAAGCCCUUAGACUCAAUACCUUAACUAGAUUCAUCCUUAUGCCAUUAUGACUCAUGCCAUAAUUGACCCACCUACGCUGUACUGCUGGAAGUUUCUACUGAUACGUACAGGAAUUUUUCAGCUACUGGUGCCCUGGAUGUUUAGUCUUCAUCUAAUUCAAUGCUCACCCUACCCGUCCG
rnacentral:lncRNA from 1 species